CCCUAUGGGGCGCAGCCGGCGGCGCGUGUUUCAGAUGAUACGGGUUUUAUGCUUUUAGGCGAGCUGGUAGAGUUUGGCAAAACUCAGAAUAUUUUUACCAGCCCCAAGGAUAAACGAACAGAAGACUAUAUUACCGGAAGAUAUGGUUAAGAGGUGACCAUCCCGUUUCGUAACCGCGUCAAAAUUCUCUUCAAUAAUUUUGACGCACUCACGGGAUUUCGCUGGAUAAAAACAGGAGGAGCUUAAUGUUAAGGCACUUAGAUGAAGAAUUAAAAGAGCUGCAUAAAGAUAUCUUGAGGAUGGCAGUUUUCGCCCAGGAAGCAAUCUUUGAAUCUGUCGAGUCGUUAAAAAACAGGGAUCAGGGGUUGGCUCAGAAAGUAAUCGACAAUGAUAAUAAUAUUGAUGAAUUGGAAUUGGCGGGAGGGC
rnacentral:rRNA from 1 species